UUAUAACAAACAAAAGUAUUUUUGACUUUAUUAUAGUCUUGGUAUAAUUCUUUCUUUGCUAUAUUAAUUGUUUAGAUAUUCUUCGAUUUUUAGUUCUUGGACUGAACUCGAAACUAUAACUGUAUCUUCAACAAUGUCAAACGCAAUUGGAGCUGUAGACCACAAAAUGAAGGACCAGGAGCCAUUGAGAGAGGCGGGAAAACAGUUGGAUUGGCUUGUAGAGAAUUUAUGCGUCGCAUUGGGCAUACAACCCAACAAAAACUUUAACAGGCAACAGCUUGUUAACGUUGUCGUUGGGUUAAAGGCCCAAUGCGACGAAGCCAGGUAUGUUCUGCAAAGCAAUCGAGCGAUAGAUGAUGUGCUUCAAGAACGAGAUCAAAUAAAAGACCAACUAAAAGGACUAGAAUCGAAUUUGGCCCAUGUCAAGAACGGCAACAAAAAACUUGUGGACAAAAAUCAAAGUCUUAAAAUGACACUGGUGACUGUCAAGCGCAAACGCAAUGUACACGGCCAGCUAAAAAUGAAAAGACUGCGCAUGAAAAAUGCUAAAGUCCAGAAAGAAAACGCAAUGCUGAAAAAAGAACUGCAGGUGGUCAAGGCCGGUUUAACUGGCAUCGUUGCAAAAGCUGCACAAUGCCAAUCAAUCAUGACCGACCACAGUGUACUUGCACUUAAACUUGAACGCGACAUUGCGAACAUGGUCAAGGACGAUAUCGCCAAAGAAGAAGAGAUCGCUGAACUUAAAGCCAACUUGAGAGCCAAGUCUCACGUGGUCAGAGCCGUUCAGGCUAUAUCCGAACACCACUUAGCCAAAGCAGCCGAUCGGAUAGAAGAAUUGGAAGCUAAACUAGCCAUCGUAGAGCGAGCGAUGGAAUUAGUUUUUCCAAGCCGUCAGUGAAAGAACGCCCAGAAGCAUUGCCGUUUGCCAAAUUUCAUCAUCUAAGGCUCCAGUGUCUCCACGUCUAGUUCAUGAUGCACGAGUGGUGUUUACUCAAUUCUUUUUUUGGUUUUCUCUCUUUAUUUUCUCUUUAUUUUGGUUUGCUCUCUUCGGAUGAUGCUGUUGAAGUCUUGGAUUGCCCCUGGAGCGUUUUCUAUGUUUUUGUUGUGCUGCAUUGUGCUAUAUAUUGAAAUUUCUUAGCAACUCAAUCAAAUAAAAACUUAAAUUUUUGGGAAAAAGUUUUGAACAUUUACUACAAGGUUACUACACAAAUACAGUUCUGUGAAACUGGGAAGAAUAAAUGGAACAACUUGCGUGAUUCCUAAACGGAUCUGCUAAAAAAUACCAAAAUUAACCUCAAACGUUUCACAAACCCGUAUCUGAUGAUACCAUUGUUGACCCUUUGCAGCCACUCAACUAGUCUAAUCUACAAGCAAGCACCAACCCAACAAAUCCAGUGAAAAUCUUACCAUAUCUGGGAAAUCAGUCGACCAGGGAUUCGUAUGAAAACGCAGCAUUGUACAUUACACAGCCAAACAAUAUGCAGUAAAAAAAUUAGGUAUAAUAUUAUAAUUAAUUCUUAUAAACAAUGUUACUUAAUUGUGUUCAAACAUCAUUCUUGCACUA